GGGUUGUGAGGUUAAGCGACUAAGCGUACACGGUGGAUGCCCUGGCAGUCAGAGGNCGAUGAAGGACGUGCUAAUCUGCGAAAAGCGUCGGUAAGGUGAUAUGAACCGUUACAGCCGGCGAUGUCCGAAUGGGGAAACCCAGUGCAAUUCGUUGCACUAUCGUUAACUGAAUACAUAGGUUAACGAGGCGAACCGGGGGAACUNGAAACAUCUAAGUACCCCGAGGAAAAGAAAUCAACCGAGAUUCCCCCAGUAGCGGCGAGCGAACGGGGAGCAGCCCAGAGUCUGAAUCAGCUUGUGUGUUAGUGGAACGGUCUGGAAAGUCCGACGGUACAGGGUGAUAGUCCCGUACACCAAAAUGCACAGGUUGUGAACUCGAAGAGUAGGGCGGGACACGUGGUAUCCUGUCUGAAUAUGGGGGGACCAUCCUCCAAGGCUAAAUACUCCUGACUGACCGAUAGUGAACCAGUACCGUGAGGGAAAGGCGAAAAGAACCCCGGCGAGGGGAGUGAAAAAGAACCUGAAACCGUGUACGUACAAGCAGUGGGAGCACCUUCGGGUGUGACUGCGUACCUUUUGUAU
rnacentral:rRNA from 1 species